CAUGCCUCCAAGUCUUCACCAGGAAAUACUAAUUUCUUGCAAUUUGCAACAUGGAGCUCGCUAAUUCCUAUCUAAUUUUCCAGAUAUGAUGGCUCUGAUUGAUGUCAGAGUGGGAUUCAAAGUAGAACUUCAGUGACUCCAAGGAGCACCAAGUCACCAAAAGGCCAAAAGAUAAAAACAAGCAAGAAAGCAAACAAAUAAAAGUAACAACAAAAUUUAAGAACCCCUUGCAUGGAAGGAUGCUUAUUUCCUCUGGACUGAAAGAUGGCAUCAGAAGUGGGAUCUAAAGUAAAGCUUCUAACAAUCCCCAUGAGCACUGAGUGACCAAGCAAGGUACACGCCAGGCCUGUUCUGUCUGUUGCUCUCACAGAGGAGCUGGGGAUCGUGGAGGUUCAUGACAGGAUGAAAAGAAACCUGAGAAGCACUCUUGAAGAGAGGUUUCUGAAUAACUUUCGAAUCAUAUCAUUUGGACUGGAUGACAGAAACUUCAUCUGCAUUGGCUUCGGCAAAGCAGAAAUUUAUUAGCUUACAAGGCUGUACAGGAAACAUGGCUGGGGAGGUCUCAGGAAACUUACAAUCAUGGUGGAAAGUGAAGAGGAAGAAGACACAUCUUACAUGACAGAAGCAGGAAGAAGAGAGUGAAGGGAGAAACACAGAGCCAUCACUGACAAAGCGUUCAUGUGGGGGCGGGUUGGUUGUGCUGGGGGCCAAGGUCAAGAGGUGCUGCCCAGUGAAGAGUAGCAGGGGUGAGGACCCAUGUGGAAAAGAGUCUGGCUGCUUUUCUGCAAGUCUGUACACUGUGCUGGGGGUCUAUGUUAGUCCCCAAUCACUGUGCUCACUCCCAAGACUGAGGGCAACAGGAGUGAGGGCUGUGGAGCAGCAAAAACAGCAGCCUGCCCAUCCCCUCCAGGAGUUCCAUGCCAGGGAAGUACAGAUCUGUUCCUCAAGAGCCCAGGUGGGACUUUUGUGACCAUGCUAGGAUCCCAGGCCAGUCUGGCAACGGGCUGUGUAGAAGAGCCCCACAGUCCACCCACUGCUUAGCCCCAUGGAUUGUGUUCCUAUUCUGAGGACAUGCAAGAGAGCCUGUCCUCCCCCAUUGCCGCAGCUGCAGCCAUUGGUACCAGGGUGCCUGGGGAUGAAAAGCUCCAAGGAUUUCAUGAGUGCCUGAGUGGCAGUUCUGCCCACACUCCAUGUAGCUGUCUAUGUCAGUCCAGAGGCCCUGGUGGGGCACGGGUGUCAUGGGGGAUCGCCUGGGCCCAGGGUUGCAAAGGUCUGUGGCAGAAAUGUGACUCCCUGGGGACUCUCACUUACUAACCAUGGUGAGGGCCAUCUCCCGGCUCUAUGCCACUUCUGGGUGAAUGAUUGUCCUGUCUCAUUCUUCUGUUUUCUGUGUAUUGUUUCCUUGAUGAAUCCCAAUGUGUCCACCUGGAUGGUCCACUCACCACUCUUUCUUCUCUUUGUGAGAGCAGCACACACCAGCUGCUUCUAGUCAGUCACCUUGAAAGGAGCUCAUCUUUAUUUAUUUUUUUAUAUGCCUACGGUGGAAGAUGUGGAAGAUACAUUAAAGAUUAUCUGAAUUGUACUAUCUUCCCUCAAAGAUUGUUAAUUAUUCUCUGGCAAGUCCUUAAAUUCAGGCACAUCUUUUAUUUAUUUAUGUAUUUAUUUUUUUAGACAAGGUCUUGUUCUGUCACCCAGGCUGGAGUGCAGUGGUGUGAUCACUGCUCACUGCAGUCUUGACCUCCCAGGCUCAAUGGUCCUCCUGCCUCUCAGCCUCCUGAGUAGCUGAGGCUACAGGCUCACACACCACCCCACUAAUUACUGUAUUUUUUGCAGAGAUGAUGUUUUGCCAUGUUGCCCACCCUGGUCUCGAACUCCUGGACUGAAAUGAUCUGCCCACCUCAGCCUCCCAAAGUGCUGGGAUUGCAGGUGUGAGCCAUUGCAUCCAGCCAGGUGCAUCUUAAUUUUUUCAAGGGUUAGUUUCAGGCUUUUUAAAGGUACAUUAUUUCAGCUUUCCUCUUACACCUAGAAGAGACAUGACCCUUACUCCUAGGAACUAGGUCUGACCCUUACUCCUAGGAACUAGGUCUUACCCUUACAAUGUGUUUCUACUGGAAUCUCUAGCUAAAUCUCACUAUUCAUCAAAUUGUCUCCACUACAGCUGGAACCAGUGUCAUCUUCUAUCUAUCUUCCUAAUACUGUGUAGCCUCUGUGAUUUCUUCCAUGAUCUCCAGCUUCUAGCUGCUAUUCUAUGCUUGGCCUUCUAGAAUCUCUUCUUAUGUAUACAAAUCUCAGCAGUUGGCCAAAAACCCAAGAAAAAUUUUGGGGACACUUUAUGGCUCCUUCUUUGUGGAAUCCUGCCUCUUGAUUCAACCAUGUCAACCCCGUUAAGCUCUAAUCUCUGUCUCCCCUGCCUAGUGAAAUUGACAUUCAUCUUGGGUUCUAUGUAGCAGCUUAGUAAUUGGUAAAUGCUCUUGGGGGAAAGCUAUGUGUGAUCUUAACUUUCUGUGUUUCCUGCUUUCAAAGACCGUAAUCCACAUUGGUUGCCUUCCAAUGCCUGCAGUCAUUGUACAUAUUUUAGCUGUUAUAUCAUUAAGGAAAAUCUUAUAUCCAAGCCAUUUACUUUAACUGACACUAUUUAAAAUCUUAAUCUAAUAUGGUUUGAAAAAAUAUGGUGUUUGCAUGUUCUCACUCAUAAGUGGGAGUUGAACAAUGAGAACACAUGGACACAGGGUGGGGAACAUCACACACCAGAGCCUGUCAGGGGGUCAGGGACUAGGGGAGGGAGAGCAUUAGGAGAAAUACCUAAUGUAGAUGAUGGGUUGAUGGGUGCAGCAAACCAUCAUGGCACGUGUAUAUGUAUGUAACAAACCUGCAUGUUCUGCACAUGUAUCCC
rnacentral:lncRNA from 1 species